UACGGAGGGUGCGAGCGUUAUCCGGAUUCACUGGGUUUAAAGGGUGCGUAGGUGGGAAUGUAAGUCAGUGGUGAAAUCUCUGAGCUUAACUCAGAAACUGCCAUUGAUACUAUGUUUCUUGAAUUUUCUGGAGGUAAGCGGAAUAUGUCAUGUAGCGGUGAAAUGCUUAGAUAUGACAUAGAACACCAAUUGCGAAGGCAGCUCGCUACACAUAUAUUGACUCUGAGGCACGAAAGCGUGGGGAUCAAACAGG
rnacentral:rRNA from 1 species